rnacentral:rRNA from 1 species
AUGCCUAACACAUGCAAGUCGAACGGUAACAGGACUAGCUUGCUAGUUGCUGACGAGUGGCGGACGGGUGAGUAAUGUAUAGGGAUCUGCCUAAUAGUGGGGGACAACGUGUGGAAACGCACGCUAAUACCGCAUACGCUCUACGGAGGAAAGUGGGGGAUCUUCGGACCUCAUGCUAUUAGAUGAACCUAUAUCGGAUUAGCUUGUUGGUGAGGUAAUGGCUCACCAAGGCGACGAUCCGUAGCUGGUUUGAGAGAAUGAUCAGCCACACUGGGACUGAGACACGGCCCAGACUCCUACGGGAGGCAGCAGUGGGGAAUAUUGCACAAUGGGCGAAAGCCUGAUGCAGCAAUGCCGCGUGUGUGAAGAAGGCCUUCGGGUUGUAAAGCACUUUCAGAUGUGAGGAAAAGUAGUCUAUUAAUACUAGACUGCCGUGACGUUAACAUCAGAAGAAGGACCGGCUAACUCCGUGCCAGCAGCCGCGGUAAUACGGAGGGUCCAAGCGUUAAUCGGAAUUACUGGGCGUAAAGCGCGCGUAGGCGGAUAAUUAAGUCAGAUGUGAAAGCCCUGGGCUCAACCUAGGAACUGCAUUUGAUACUGGUUAUCUAGAGUAUGGUAGAGGUGAGUGGAAUUUCAGGUGUAGCGGUGAAAUGCGUAGAGAUCUGAAGGAACAUCAGUGGCGAAGGCGACUCACUGGGCCAUUACUGACGCUGAGGUGCGAAAGCGUGGGUAGCAAACAGGAUUAGAUACCCUGGUAGUCCACGCCCUAAACGAUGUCAACUAGGUGUGUGAGAGUCUAACUCUUGCGUAUCGAAGCUAACGCGAUAAGUUGACCGCCUGGGGAGUACGGUCGCAAGACUA